rnacentral:rRNA from 1 species
GACAGAGGGUGCAAACGUUGCUCGGAAUCACUGGGCGUAAAGGGCGUGUAGGCGGGAAGGAAAGUCAGAUGUGAAAUCCCCAGGCUCAACCUGGGAACUGCAUUUGAAACUCCCUUUCUUGAGUACCGGAGAGGAAAGUGGAAUUCCCGGUGUAGAGGUGAAAUUCGUAGAUAUCAGGAGGAACACCAGUGGCGAAGGCGGCUCACUGGACUGGUAUUGACGCUGAGGUGCGAAAGCGUGGGGAGCAAACAGG